GUUCGUGUACGUACACAAAGAGGGGAACGUGCUGUUGACUUCUGGCGACUGUGGGACAAAGAGAAAAUGUUACGCAGUACGAGCAACAUGUGAGUAAAAUAGCAUAAAUUUAUACAUUCAAAACUAGUCAAAACUGUACUUCUCGUAAUACCAUCCGCAUAUUUUAAAGACAGUGUCCUAUAAAUACGUGAAGUAUCGUAAAGUUCCUGAAACCCGAAGCUAUUAUAUAUUAUAUAUUUCGAAUUUCCCAAUUUAAUACCCACACUGAAACAAUUAUAACAUGUAAUACUACAGAUAUACUCGAUAAAUGUAUAGUGUUCUAUACUGAAUUCUACAGAUCCGCAGACGUAGGUAAACAAUAAUUGCAUGUCUAGUGACUAGUGUUUCUAAGCAGGGCAUUUUUAAAGAAUUUGUCAGUGGGGGGUGGCAUCUACAAAAAGGGACCAUACUAUACCGAUUGUGGAGAAAUGAUAGAUGGUUUGUUGGUAACAAAAAGUUUGGUGUGGUAUCGCAUUUAAU